rnacentral:lncRNA from 10 species
GCAGGAUAGUGUUCAGUCCUAAUCACUGGAACCUGUGUAGACGUAACAAAGGGGAAUUUAGGCUGCAAAUCAACUGACCUUCAAAUAGAUUCACCUGGAUUAUCCAGGUGAGCCUGUUGUAAUCACAAGGUUGCUUAAAAGAGCCCCGGCCAGGACCGGUGGCUUACGCCUGUAAUCCCGGCACUUUGGGAGGCCGAGGCGGGCAGAUCUCCUGAGGUCAGGAGUUCAAGACCAGCCUGCCCAACACGGCGAAGUCCCGUCUCUACUGAAAAUACGAAAAAUUAGCCAGGAGUGAUGACGGGUGCCUGUAAUCCCAGCUACUCAGGAGGCUGAGGCAGGACAAUCACUUGAACCCGGGAGGCGGAGGUUGCAGUGAGCCAAGAUCACGCCACUGCACUCCAGCCUGCGCGACAGAGUGAAACUCUAUCUCAAAAAAAAAAAAAAAAAGCCCCAGGAGGAGGCGAGGAGAGAAGGAAGGCACCAGGUGCAAGUUGCUGACACCGAAGCUGGAGGAAGAAGCUCAGAGACAAGCGAAGUGGGGCACCUGUAGCCCAGGGAGUGGGCAAAGAAAUGGAUUCUCCCCCAGAGCCUCCACAAGGAGUGCAACCUUCCUCGAACUGGCCGCAGGGCACGAGACCUGAGAGCAGAAAAUUGAUAAGCCAGCCAGCAAUCUAGGACACAAACCACAAAAUCAGAUUACCUUCUUGGGGACUUGAACUGGACACUUGGGGAUCAUGAACCAGUUGAAUCAAAAGCAGAAGGUGAUCUCAAUUAGCCACAAUUCUUCAAAUACAACUAUAUGCUGAAGAUUAUCCAUUUUAAAUCUCCAAGCCCUCUGCUGAAGUCCAGACUCACAUAUCCACACAGACUUGACUUCUCUACCUGGAUUUCUGUGAGGCAUUUCAAAUUCAACUUCAAAUUCUUGAUUUAUAUCUCCAAGUGUUAGGUCUUUUCCAUCUCAUAAUAUGACAACUCUAUUAUUUUAGUCAUUCAGGCUGAAAGUCUUGAAAUCAUCUUUGACUUCUGUCUUUCUCUUUCAAACCGCAUGUCAGCAAAUUCCAUUGUCUCAUUUUAAAAUAUACACAGCAUCUGACUGCUUUCCAUCUCAACCUAGUGUUUUGUUGCUAGCAAAUCCCAUCACCUCCACCUGAACACAGGCAGCAGCCACCUCGCCGCCUAUCCUCCUUUCGCAGAUGCUCCCUCAUGUCCGUGCACGGAGCCAGAGCAGCUCCUUUCUUUCUUUUUUUCUCUUUUUUUUUUGAGACGGAGUCUCGCUUUGUCGCCCAGGCUGGAGUGCAGUGGUGCGAUCUUGGCUCACUGCAAGCUCCGCCUCCCGGGUUCGCG